rnacentral:lncRNA from 1 species
AGACAAGAGAGUGCGUUUUAAUAUAGGUUUGCAGAGUACAAUAGAGAAAAAUCAGCUGAUUUGAGUACUCUAUGAAAAACACUCCUGCUUUUUUCUGCUGCAUGCAAAAUGACCUAUUUUUAUUUUUUGCUCCCUUGAGCAGUCACAUGCAGUUUUCUCGGCGUGCAUUGAAAAGAGCGAGAAUAGAUGGUUCUUAAUGUAAGUAGCAAUAAUACGCGUUUUGUUUUUGUUUUUUUAAAUGCAUUUAUGUAGACGUCUGCAGUUGCAAAUGUGUUCCUCUGUUACAAAACAUUUAUGCGCAUCCGCAAAUACAAUACUAACAAGGGCUUUAGUACAUCUUAAAGAGGGGAAAUAUCCUUGAAACCACAUAUAUAUACAUGUGUGAGUAGUUCUAGUGUUGAUACUCAGACCAAGACCGAUAUUUUUCCGUUCGGUCUUAAGUGAUUUUUCUAGGCCGAUUUGGACUCAUAUUUUGAAUUUAAUUAAGAAAAAUGGUUACGAAACAGCGAACUGUGAAUUUUUGGAUGUGAUGAAGAUCUGGGAAAUUUUCAUCAUCUUCCAAUAUUUGGCAAUGUGAUGAAAUACUUCUUGUACAUCGGACAAUUAUUGAAACAUGAAAAAAAAUAAAGAUCCCUCAGUGUCAGAAAUUGUAAAGAAAGUCGCUAACAAACUCAAAAGUAUUUAGAAGAUUGCCUCUAUCCCAAUUGUGUUGGAUUAACGAGUUGAAACAAUGUGGAACACUUACCAUGGAAAAUACAGUAUUAAAGAACAGAGAGAUAAAUGGUUAUAUGUAGUGUGAACCGGAAAUUCACAAGGAUUAUAUCCGCCAGAAUUGGAAGAAAAGAAGGCAAACAUUAAAGACUUGAUGGAAAAACAUCUGGCCCAUAGAUUCACUAGUCCGAUUGGCAAACAAUGACAAAUUUGUGAGAGCAAAGUAAUUGUAAAAUAUGAAAUAAUUCAUCCAAGGGUACCAAAUGUGAAGAAUGCAAUCAAAUUAUAGUCUUGGAAGCAAUUAUCCAUAUAAAUUGCAACAUUAAUAAAAAUGAACAUCAGGAAAAUACGGUAAAAACUUCAUAAACCACAAUGAAAUGGUAGCUAAAACAAAAUUUGUUCGACAAAAAAAAGAUAGUAACUUCAAGUCUCAAGUUUUGCUUGAUCUUCCUGAAGACACAAAUUCAUUGCUCAUUUUUGAAUUAACUACAAACUUCCUAGCUCUUUCGCAUAUAUCUGUCAACAAACAAACAUUUAUGAUCUCCAAAAUGGUAAAGAGUUUGUAACAAAUGUAGAAGAAAUCCACGCCUUUCUGGGAAUUUAUCUAAUGUCAGUGAUGAAGCUUCCUAAUUUUUAAUCUAAUUGGAGAAUUGAUAAUUUUAUAUCAUCUGAGGGUAUCAAAAAUGCAAUAACUAGCACUCAAGUUAUGUCCAUUCUUCAAAACCUUCACUUCGCUAAUAACUUAGGAGCAAAUAAUUCGCACAAAACUUAACAAAUAAAAGCAACUAUUGACCUUUAAAAUGAAGCAUUUCAAUCUGCCAUGUCCGAUGCUCCAGAACAGUCGAUUGACGAACACAUUGAACUGUAUGUUCCACAAAAGUUUGGGAAUUUCAUGAAUUGAUAAAAAAAGGUGCUCGGACGCCUCGUGCAGGAUGUAAAAAGAGGAAAAGUCCGAGGAAAAGAGGAAAUUCCAUCUAGUGUUCCUCGUCUCUCUAUAUGAGCAUAUACUCGUAGUAACUAGCGGUAGUACACGGUACGGUGAAUGAUGUUUCUAGGAGAAACAUCAUGUACCCUUACAGAGGUUUUAGGAACACAAGUACCCUGCCCGUUCCCAGGAUAAACAUCAUGUACCCUCAUCCAACUCUGUAUGAUCCAGUGGAGAAACUAGUACAAGUUCUUCAUGAGCACACUUAUAUGUAGCUACUCAAUACAUAUAUGCAGAUGUUCUCUCUACAAGAAUGAAAGAAUAACAAUAACAGGUUGAUAAAAAAAAAUGACGUUAUGACUGAUGAUAUCUGGAGUACUUUAGUCUCUAGAAUAUUAUUUGAACAAGCCUUAGCUACACACACUCUAUGUUAAAUGCAAAACGCCCGCGAAAUUUCAUUAAUAUGACAAAAAUGACUGUUUUUAUAAAACAAGUUGGAAUAAAAUAGAAUCAAUUGACAAAUUGAUAAACGAACUUGUCCUUUCCAAAUUUCAUAAAACUUUGAUAUUGACAUUAUCAACUUUUAUUCAACCAGGUGGAGUUGAAAUACAUUAAAGGAUAUUUUGUAUGAUAAAAAAUAUCAAAAAGACUACACUUCCCUUCUCUACAUUGCUACGUGAAAUCUAGUGUUAAGCUUUGGUCUGUAAAUACUAGUUGGUCUGAGACCAUUAUAAUUUUUUUGCUCUAAGUUUGAUCUGGUUCGCUCUUGUUGUCAAAUUCGGUCUUGAUCGGCCCUAUAAAAAAAUAACUUUUUUAGGAGCGAAAUUUUAAUUUCAGUUCACUGUUAGAGACUGCAACAAUUUAAUAAUUGUUAAGAAACUAUUCACAGCUACUAACCUACAGAUAAUUCACAUUUAACCAAUACGUCUGUACACAUUCUCUACGAAUAUGUUAAGAUUUAUCUUACAAUAGAAUGUGUGAGGAGUUUAGACUUUUUUUUUUUCAUAUUUUAGAUUAAUUUGUGUAUAAUUUAAGCGUUUUUCUGCAUAAAUAUACUAGUUUGAGCUAUUUA